rnacentral:other from 1 species
AGUACCCUGCGGGGUGCGUGAUGAGCCUUUCAUUAACCCACAUUUUGUUAUUCGGGAUGCUGGUUCAUCGUCUGGUUUGCAGGCCUCCCGGCUGCCACCGUGGGCCGUCCAUGUGACGGCGAAGCGCAAACCUGCCGCUUUGCGGCAGUUCACGGCGGUUGGAAGUUGGAAGCAGUAAAGGGCGAUGCAGGCGACCCACCUGCCAGUUAUGUGCAGGUUAUAACGGGGCUCACACGGCUUCUGCGGGGUACUU